GGAAACGGCCGCGAGGUGUCACUGCGAGCAGGCGGUGCCGCCGCGCGUGACUGGAAACGUCAUCGUUUCACCUACCGUGAAAGACCUUAAGCGAACAAACUAAAGUAGACGUUACUUUUUCAAAAUGUCCUGCUCGAUAGUUAUUUCUUUGCCGAAGUUAUUUAAAGACGCAAACUGAUUCGGAAAAACAUCUCAAAGCCGUUUUAGAAAUAUAUUUAUUAGUCGCCCAUAAGCCGAGUAACACGAAUUCCAUGAUUCCUAAGCAGAGUCUGGUGAGCCGUUCCCCGGACUGCUGCCAAAAGCGGCUCCUGCUUUAAUUCCGUCGCCAGUGCAGUGAAGUUUCACACGGAGGAAAAAAAGAAAAAACCUGAAACAUUUUGAAUAUGAUUCAAAAUGAAGAGUUCAGCCCCGAAACGACCUGCGCUGUUUAAUGUAUAGAGAUUUUAACACCGAGUGUGUUGUGCCUUAAAAUAUCUGACAAUUUAAUGUUGGUUUGCUUCUCGUCGAACCUUAACGGCUCGUCCGCAUAAGUGUGGGUCCGUUUUCUGAAUCUAGAGGUUAACGUGAGAAAUUCGGCUUAGACCAGUUCACUAAAAGCAGCAUUUAAAUAGAUGAAGCUCACAUUUUCUCUUUAGUUUGUCCGUAACGCCGCUUCAGUGACGAACCUGCCAGCGGGGAGCGCAAAAAGCUGACAUUGAUUGUUUACGGCCGAUUCCCCCCCAAAGAACCAAAAUGAUCGUUAAAUGAUGAACUCGUUUUAGAAGGCGUGUAUUGUUUGUAUCAAACAUGACUGAGUAAAUAUCCGAAGUUUUUAAACGGAGUCUGGCGAGCAUCGUACCAAACCGCUGCCAUACGCGGAUUCUUCUUGGGAAUUCUCGUCAGUUCAGUGGCUACAGUCCAAUACAGAGGAGCAAAGAACCUAUACGAGUCCACUGUGUCUUUUACCCUAAACGUUCUUGCAGCAGGUCUAAAUGUUCUUAUGGCUGCAGCAGCUGCAGGUGUUGCAUUUCUUCCUCAACUCAGCAACAUCAAACUCAAACCAGACUCCACUGAGGUUUGUCUCAGACCAGUCUGGGUGUUUUGCUGUGAUUAAACGGCCUAAUGUGGUGCUGUGUUGUUGAGGUCCAAUAAGACCCGGACCGGGUGAGGAACGACACCGUCCAGGGGGUCGUUUGUUGUGGACACAGCAGUGCCAACUGUAGCAGAGACAUCAAAAACUACAACACACAUCAUGACCGUCUUCACGAAGAGCAGCUCCUGCGAGGACUCUGCUCCUCCAUGUUGUUCUGGUUUGAGCGACGUCCUCUGGGUCUUUGGUGGGGGGACCUUUCGAGGCCGAUCUUGACGUAGCCCUUGUACCUGUCCUCGUGACCUCCAGGGACCUGGAAGACGCUGAUGAGUUUUCAGAGACAUCCCUGGACCGCAGGGCUCUGAUGUGUCUCCUGUAGGUGGUCCGGGUCUCUGCUCCAUACAGUAGAGUGGGGAACCAGUUCUGCAGAGAACCCACUGAUGAUGCAUUUCUUCGGAUGUGAGCUCUGGAGGACAGGAGACUGCUGAGUCUGACCCCCACCCAACCCAGUCCAACUUUUAUAAACCUGCCCCCGUGCCGGCAUCGCUACCGUGAAACUGUGGCUGACACGUGGUCACGGAGGAGGAGCCUCGGCACCAGCGCGGACGCCGUGACGUGUCCGGAUGGGAGCAGGUUCAGCAUCUGGCGGAGGGGCUGAGAGCGGAGGGGGCAGCAGGUUGGGGACUGUGUCACACUGGCAGGGUGCAGACAGAUGUUUUACUGAGAGGGGCCCCUGGGAGUUCAGGGGUUAAAGUGCCUGUGGACAUGUGAGGAGAAGCACGUAGCUACACCUCCUCCUCCUCCUCCUCGCUUUUUUAUGAAUGAGAUUUCCAACUACACACACACACACACACACACGGAGUGAUGUCAACAACAAGCCCAUCCCCCACCGCUGCGGGAAAAGCCUCACGAUCAGAAAGAGAGGCGUCGUCCUGCUUCCCAUAUGUCCCUCUCCCUCUCCCUCUCUCAGGAUGAGACGGGUGGGAAAGAGAGGAAGAGAGCUCUCCUCCUUCCCCAUCCCUCCAUCCUCCCUCCUCUUUUCCUCACGAGCCUGAGGAUGAGUAAUCCACCGAGGGAGGGAGGAUAGCAACGCAGCAUCAUCAUCAUCAUCAUCAUCAUCAGUGAAGGAGCAGAGCGAGAGGAUGAAAAUUCAAAACCUUCCGGCUCCUCUUUCACUGCUGAGCUCAGUAACACCGGGGGAAGGCUAAUUCCCGGACACAAUUAAUAUGUCAGUGAAGAACGGCGCGCUUCCGGAUUAUAACUCCACAAUCACUGGAACUGGCAGAGGAAUAUAUGUUUAUAUUUCUGAGCUGUUCGCUUGCAUGUGGAGCGCAACUGACUAAUCCCUGGAGGGGUUGGACGGAGGCAUUAUGGCUUGUUUCACUGGAUGGCACCAGCCUAUUCUUGGGUAGGAGCUGAGUGACUCAUCCUUUGGAUUGUGGGGACAGUCUUCCUCCUGAACAACCGGUCUCCUCUUGUCAUAUCCAUUUUAACUCUGUUUAAAGAAAUCUGCGCCACGCCUCCACUCGUGGUGUUUUCAGAGGCUGGAAUCUGGCUAACACCUGGAAUCCUUGGCCCCUAACAGCACCUCGCUGCCCCACAGGAUCCCAGUACCUGGACAUUUUCUGUGUCAAAAGUCCACAAACAGCCUCCUCCUGGGACCAGGUUGAGCUCUGGAUCAGUGUGU